CAAUAGCGUAUAUUAAAGCUGUUGCGGUUAAAAAGCUCGUAGUUGGAUUUCUGCUGAGAACGACCGGUCCGCCCUUUGGGUGUGUAUCUGGCUCUUUCUUGGCAUCUUCUUGGUGAACGUUGCUGCACUUGACUGUGUGGAGCGCUACCCAGGACUUUUACUUUGAGGAAAUUAGAGUGUUUCAAGCAGGCAUACGCCUUGAAUACAUUAGCAUGGAAUAAUAAGAUAGGACCUCGGUUCUAUUUUGUUGGUUUCUAGAGCUGAGGUAAUGAUUAAUAGGGAUAGUUGGGGGCAUUCGUAUUUAACUGUCAGAGGUGAAAUUCUUGGAUUUGUUAAAGACGGACUACUGCGAANGNAUUUGCNAAGGAUGUUUNCAUUG
rnacentral:rRNA from 1 species